GUCAUAAGACUGCCAAGUGCAAUCUGUCUAGGAGAGGUGACAAGCAACUCUAGCAGGACAGGUUUCUGCGUGUUUGGCAGGUUCUUGAUUUAUGUGUACAAAAGGGAGUUUGGUGAAGGUCACAAAACAGCAAAUGGAGAGGAAGAAAAGAAGGAUUCUAAAAACGUACAAUGACAAAUACGACAAAGCACGCAGUAUCCCACAAUUGAAUUAAAACUCUCUUCGCCUCAGACCACACACACAGAAAAUGUUAGCAAUAAAACUGUUCUGAAGAUUGAUAAUAAAAGGUCCUUUGUUGCCAAAAUGGUCUAAAACAACAACAACAACAACAACCAAGAACAUGUCUUUAAUAAAAAUCAUAUUAAAAUGUG